rnacentral:rRNA from 1 species
AGAGUUUGAUCAUGGCUCAGGAUGAACGCUGGCGGCGUGCCUAACACAUGCAAGUCGAGCGAAGCACUUUACUCUGAUUUCUUCGGAUUGAAGAGUGAUUUGACUGAGCGGCGGACGGGUGAGUAACGCGUGGGUAACCUGCCUCACACAGGGGGAUAACAGUUAGAAAUGACUGCUAAUACCGCAUAAGGCCACAGCACCGCAUGGUGCAGGGGUAAAAACUCCGCGG